CCUACGGGAGGCAGCAGUAGGGAAUCUUCCACAAUGGGCGAAAGCCUGAUGGAGCAACGCCGCGUGGGUGAAGAAGGUCUUCGGAUCGUAAAACCCUGUUGUUAGAGAAGAAAGUGCGUGAGAGUAACUGUUCACGUUUCGACGGUAUCUAACCAGAAAGCCACGGCUAACUACGUGCCAGCAGCCGCGGUAAUACGUAGGUGGCAAGCGUUAUCCGGAUUGAUUGGGCGUAAAGGGAACGCAGGCGGUCAUUUAAGUCUGAUGUGAAAGCCUUCGGCUUAACCGGAGUAGUGCAUUGGAAACUGGGAGACUUGAGUGCAGGAGAGGAGAGUGGAACUCCAUGUGUAGCGGUGAAAUGCGUAGAUAUAUGGAAGAACACCAGUGGCGAGAGCGGCUCUCUGGUCUGUAACUGACGCUGAGGUUCGAAAGCGUGGGUAGCAAACAGGAUUAGAUACCCUUGUAGUC
rnacentral:rRNA from 1 species